UACGAAGAGGGCUAGCGUUGCUCGGAAUUACUGGGCGUAAAGGGCGCGUAGGCGGAUAUCUAAGUUGGGGGUGAAAUCCCGGGGCUCAACCUCGGAAUUGCCUUCAAAACUGGGUAUCUUGAGUUCGGGAGAGGUGAGUGGAAUUCCCAGUGUAGCGGUGAAAUGCGUAGAUAUUGGGAGGAACACCAGUGGCGAAGGCGGCUCACUGGACCGGUACUGACGCUGAUGCGCGAAAGCGUGGGGAGCAAACGGG
rnacentral:rRNA from 1 species